AGCCGGCGGUGGCGCGGGAGAGGAUCAUGCACCGGAUCAACUCCAAGAUGGCGCACAAGUUGUACCAGCUGGGGCAGCAGCUGUCGUUGCGGUGGACGACCGGCGUCGGGCCGCGGAUCGGGUGCGUGCGCGACUACCCGCCGGAGCUGCAGUUCCGGUUGCUGGAGGAUUCGGGCUUUGAAAUUGUGCCAAGUACAUAUGCGUUCGGUGGAGGAUUCGGGCUUUGAAAUUGUGCCAGAAACAGGCACAGAGACAGAAUUUGAGCAACACUGACUGUCUGCUGUAAUCUAUAUACAACAGAAUUUGUACUACAUCCUUAGUUUUAGCGCAUCCCUCCUGCCACGAGGAAAAUAUCAUGGAAUUGACAAGAGCAAGGCAGGAGAGAUGCUGGGAGCCAAAAUCAAUAGCACCCAGACUGCAUGCAGAUAAAUAUAGCCUCAACAAGAUGAAUUGUGAGAUCGAGCUCCUUCAGUUUCAGCAUAAGCCCCCGCAUAAAUCAUCACCUUUGGAGCAGUGCUUAGUCCCAAACCAUUAAGGUUCUGUAACGGCUGAAAUUCUCCAAGCUCUGAAUCUCUGACGAUGAUGGGAUCCGGACACCCUGAAGAAACUACAUCCAGUUCAGUACAGUCAGGGGGUAGGCAUGCUUCCAACCGUGUGUUUCUUCAAGGCAAGGUUUGCUAUUUGUUGUGUAUCAGUCCCAACAAGUUGUAGUUUGGUUAUUCUUGUUCUUUUAUUGUUAGUGAAGAAAAAUGACAAUGUAGUCCCAGGUCUGUGUACGUGAGGUUUUCAUGGUCCUUGAGCUGUUGUUACAUGCAGGGCCGUGCUUGCCAAGAAUCGAAACCGAUCCUCCUUGAAGAUGGUCCGACCUCCAGUUCAUCUAUCGAAGGAUAGUAAUACUACUACUGCUGCAACUAUCUUGUUGUAUCGCUCUGCUUCCAUAUGCAAAACAAUGCAUCAACCUGUUCUUUUUUUGCGGGAAAAAUAAUGCGUUGAUCAAUGUAUUCUGCAUUCCUGAUUGUCAUAUGUUUCGAAUUCAUAAGAUUAGCUAUAUGAAAGCCACGGUGCAUAUAAUGUUCGUUUCAUUUCUUAGCGCAGUAGCUCUGGUAUGAAAGACUGACGAACAUGGGUGAAUAAGCUGGGAGGAACGGACAGCACAGUGACAAUGGGUAGGUGCAACCUUCGGAGAAAAGUGUGUCAAGGCAGCAAUUAUAGUUGGUAACAUGAGCUGCCCCAGUCGCAUGGCAGUGUUCUGGCCAAGAUGGUACGGGACAUAGUUGCUCGCCUAAAUGAAGGAGAUGUUGAUCUGAGAUACAUCAAGAAUUUCGAUUUGGCAGGUCCCUCACGGAGACACUGGAGGAGAUGGUGUGCUCAACCCGAGUUCGCCUUCAGCAUCCUCCUACAGUUUGACAAGUCCAUGAGUGCCACGCCUACAGCCCCAGGUCAAGAGCAAUGCCUUCUUCAAGGUGCCAACCAAAAUGACACCUCUCCACACAUUUAUCACUAUAUUGUACAGAGAACCAAGUGCCCUGACCUAUGCUAUAAAGAGAUCAUGUGAAAACAAAGCUGAAGUUGUUGCUCAGGAUGAGAAGGAAAGUGAUCUUCGAGCAACACUAGACCUGGACCUAGAACCACUGGUUCACUUAGAACGAGUUAGUCGAUUGUUGUGAUAAGAGUAAGGGUUGAGAGUGAGCGGGGAGAAGGUUAGAGUUUGUCUCUUCAGUUACAGUUCUGAGAAGAAUAAUUUUUCUAUUUUAGAAAAUGUGGCAAAUUGCAUUUCAUCAGAGAUGGCUUUGCUGUAAAUUGCAUGAUCGAGAGGUUUUUAUAUAUUUUUCAUCAAGUCGUACAAUUUUUUUCUUUGGAUAGAAAGGUAAAUGCAUAGGUAGGUUGAUUCAAGA